rnacentral:rRNA from 1 species
AGCUCCAAUAGUAUAUAUUAGUGUUGUUGCAGUUAAAGCGCUCGUAGUUGGAUUUUGGAAUGGUUUAUCCCGGUCCGCCGAAAGGUGUGUACUGGGUGAACUGUUCUUCCUUCUGAAGAGAUGCUCAUCUUCUUUAUUGGGGGUGGGUGUUAUUUCAGGACUUUUACUUUGAAAAAAUUAGAGUGUUCAAAGCAGGCAAUUCGCUUGAAUACAUUAGCAUGGAAUAAUAAAAUAGGACUUUGGUUCUAUUUUGUUGGUUUCUAGGACCGAAGUAAUGAUUAAUAGGGAUAGUUGGGGGCAUUAGUAUUUAAUUGUCAGAGGUGAAAUUCUUGGAUUUAUGAAAGACUAACUUCUGCGAAAGCAUUUGCCAAGGAUGUUUUCAUUAAUCAAGAACGAAAGU